UUAUUGAUGGUUCAGUGGUAGAGUUCUUGACUUCUAUGCAGGGGACCUGGGUUUGAUUCCUAGCCGAUGUA
rnacentral:tRNA from 1 species